CGAAAUUUGAUCCAUUAUGGUUUUUUAUUGACAUUGAUUUGUAAAAGCAUGGGGAGCAAACAGGAUUAGAUAUCAUUGUAGUUCUCGCCGUAAACGAUGUCGAAUAGCCGUUGGGAUCCUUGAGAUCUUAGUGGUGCAGCUAACGCAUUAAUUCGCCGCCUGGGGAGUUCGGCCGCAAGGUUUAAGUCAAAGAAUGACGGGGGCCGCCAAGCGUGACAGUGUUAAAAGAACACGGAGACCCACAGCCCGCACCAUGAACUCCGGAUAUGCCUUCGGAUGCCAGUGCAGCGCCGGGGAUAAAAGAAAUG
rnacentral:rRNA from 1 species